UACGGAGGGUGCAAGCGUUAAUCGGAAUUACUGGGCGUAAAGCGUGCGCAGGCGGUUUUGUAAGUUUGUCGUGAAAUCCCCGGGCUCAACCUGGGAAUGGCGAUGAAGACUGCAAGGCUAGAAUCUGGCAGAGGGGGGUAGAAUUCCACGUGUAGCAGUGAAAUGCGUAGAGAUGUGGAGGAACACCGAUGGCGAAGGCAGCCCCCUGGGUCAAGAUUGACGCUCAUGCACGAA
rnacentral:rRNA from 1 species